rnacentral:other from 1 species
CCUUUCCUGCGGUGUACGUGUAAGCGCAUUUGCGUCUACCCGUGUAAAAACCCACAUUUACGAAAGGGAGUCUGAAGAAUCUUUGCCCGUGGUGAAGCAGGCCUCCCGUAACGCGGCUGUCUUUGUACCCCGCAGUUUACGGACGUUGGAAGCACUAAAGCGUGCAAUAGGACACCCACCUGCCAAAAGCAGGGUUUCGUUCACGGGACACGGCACUGCGGGGGCUUU